AGUGAACGCUGGCGGUAGGCCUAACACAUGCAAGUCGAACGGCAGCACAGGAGAGCUUGCUCUCUGGGUGGCGAGUGGCGGACGGGUGAGGAAUACAUCGGAAUCUACUCUGUCGUGGGGGAUAACGUAGGGAAACUUACGCUAAUACCGCAUACGACCUACGGGUGAAAGCAGGGGACCUUCGGGCCUUGCGCGAUUGAAUGAGCCGAUGUCGGAUGAGCUAGUUGGCGGGGUAAAGGCCCACCAAGGCGGCGAUCCGGAGCUGGUGUGAGAGGAUGAUCAGCCACACUGGAACUGAGACACGGUCCAGACUCCUACGGGAGGCAGCAGUGGGGAAUUUUGGACAAUGGGGGCAACCCUGAUCCAGCCAUGCCGCGUGAGUGAAGAAGGCCUUCGGGUUGUAAAGCUCUUUCGGCCGGGAAGAAAUCGCACGGGCUAAUACCCUGUGUGGAUGACGGUACCGGAAUAAGAAGCACCGGCUAACUACGUACCAGCCGCCGCAGUAA
rnacentral:rRNA from 1 species